GAUGAACGCUGGCGGCGUGCCUAAUACAUGCAAGUCGAGCGAACAGACGAGGAGCUUUCUCCCCUGCUGUUAGCGGCGGACGGGUGAGUAACACGUGGAUAACCUACCUAUAAUACUUGGGUAACUUCGGGAGACCGGUGCUACUACUGCAUAACAUGUUGAACCGCAUGGUUCAACAGUUAAUCACAGUCUUCCCGACACUUUUAGCUGGAUCCGCGGCGCAUUAGCUAGUUGGUAAGGUAACGGCUUACCAAGGCAACGAUGCGUAGCCGAUCUGAGAGGAUGAUCGGCCACACUGGAACUGAGACACGGUCCAGACUCCUACGGGAGGCAGCAGUGGGGAAUCUUCCACAAUGGGCGAAAGCCUGACGCAGCCACGCCGCGUGAGUGAAGAAGGUCUUCGGAUCGUAAAGCUCUUUUGUUAGGGAAGAAAAGAAGUGUAAGUAACUAUGCACGUCUUGACGGUACCUAAACAGAAAGCAACGGCUAACUACGUG
rnacentral:rRNA from 1 species